GGCGCGUUGGUCCAGCGGAAGGGACAUCGGCUUCUCACGCCGAAAACACGGGUUCGAUCCCCGUACGCGUCACCA
rnacentral:tRNA from 1 species